rnacentral:rRNA from 1 species
CUGGGUGUGGAAGCGCAGUAAUGCGUUAAGCUAACCAGUACUAAUUGCUCGUGCGGCUUGACCCUA